rnacentral:tRNA from 1 species
GGAGGAGUAAUCAAGCCUGGCCAAAGUAAGCACUUGUGAUCCUGUCUUUCAGGAGUUCGUGGGUUCAAAUCCCACCUCCUCCA